UACGGAGGGUGCGAGCGUUGUCCGGAAUCACUGGGCGUAAAGGGCGCGUAGGCGGCCUGAUAAGUCGGGGGUGAAAUCCUGCGGCUUAACCGCAGGGCUGCCUUCUAAACUGUCAGGCUAGAGCACAGUAGAGGCAGGUGGAAUUCCCGGUGUAGCGGUGGAAUGCGUAGAGAUCGGGAGGAACACCGGUGGCGAAGGCGGGUCUCUGGGCAAUUCCUGACGCUGAGGCGCGAAAGCGUGGGGAGCAAACGGG
rnacentral:rRNA from 1 species